GACGAACGCUGGCGGCUUGCUUAACACAUGCGAGUCGAACGGAAAGGCCCUGCUUUUGUGGGGUGCUCGAGUGGCGAACGGGUGAGUAACACGUGAGUAACCUGCCCUUGACUUUGGGAUAACUUCAGGAAACUGGGGCUAAUACCGGAUAGGAGCUCCUGCUGCAUGGUGGGGGUUGGAAAGUUUCGGCGGUUGGGGAUGGACUCGCGGCUUAUCAGCUUGUUGGUGGGGUAGUGGCUUACCAAGGCUUUGACGGGUAGCCGGCCUGAGAGGGUGACCGGCCACAUUGGGACUGAGAUACGGCCCAGACUCCUACGGGAGGCAGCAGUGGGGAAUAUUGCACAAUGGGCGGAAGCCUGAUGCAGCAACGCCGCGUGCGGGAUGACGGCCUUCGGGUUGUAAACCGCUUUCGCCUGUGACGAAGCGUGAGUGACGGUAAUGGGUAAAGAAGCACCGGCUAACUACGUG
rnacentral:rRNA from 1 species